UCUAGCUUGGCAGAUUAAUUGUAUCAAAUUUAGAAUUUGAAGAUGACUAGUGUCAGUUAGGA
rnacentral:tRNA from 1 species